rnacentral:rRNA from 1 species
GACGAACGCUGGCGGCGUGCUUAACACAUGCAAGUCGAACGGUGAUGUCAGAGCUUGCUCUGGCGGAUCAGUGGCGAACGGGUGAGUAACACGUGAGUAACCUGCCCCCGACUCUGGGAUAACUGCUAGAAAUGGUAGCUAAUACCGGAUAUGACGAUUGGCCGCAUGGUCUGGUCGUGGAAAGAAUUUCGGUUGGGGAUGGACUCGCGGCCUAUCAGGUUGUUGGUGAGGUAAUGGCUCACCAAGCCUACGACGGGUAGCCGGCCUGAGAGGGUGACCGGCCACACUGGGACUGAGACACGGCCCAGACUCCUACGGGAGGCAGCAGUGGGGAAUAUUGCACAAUGGGCGAAAGCCUGAUGCAGCAACGCCGCGUGAGGGAUGACGGCCUUCGGGUUGUAAACCUCUUUUAGUAGGGAAGAAGCGAAAGUGACGGUACCUGCAGAAAAAGCACCGGCUAACUACGUGCCAGCAGCCGCGGUAAUACGUAGGGUGCAAGCGUUGUCCGGAAUUAUUGGGCGUAAAGAGCUCGUAGGCGGUUUGUCGCGUCUGCUGUGAAAUCCCGAGGCUCAACCUCGGGUCUGCAGUGGGUACGGGCAGACUAGAGUGCGGUAGGGGAGAUUGGAAUUCCUGGUGUAGCGGUGGAAUGCGCAGAUAUCAGGAGGAACACCGAUGGCGAAGGCAGAUCUCUGGGCCGUAACUGACGCUGAGGAGCGAAAGCAUGGGGAGCGAACAGGAUUAGAUACCCUGGUAGUCCAUGCCGUAAACGUUGGGAACUAGAUGUGGGGACCAUUCCACGGUCUCCGUGUCGCAGCUAACGCAUUAAGUUCCCCGCCUGGGGAGUACGGCCGCAGGGCUAAAACUCAAAGGAAUUGACGGGGGCCCGCACAAGCGGCGGAGCAUGCGGAUUAAUUCGAUGCAACGCGAAGAACCUUACCAAGGCUUGACAUAUACCGGAAACAUGCAGAAAUGUGUGCCCCGCAAGGUCGGUAUACAGGUGGUGCAUGGUUGUCGUCAGCUCGUGUCGUGAGAUGUUGGGUUAAGUCCCGCAACGAGCGCAACCCUCGUUCUAUGUUGCCAGCACGUAAUGGUGGGAACUCAUAGGAGACUGCCGGGGUCAACUCGGAGGAAGGUGGGGAUGACGUCAAAUCAUCAUGCCCCUUAUGUCUUGGGCUUCACGCAUGCUACAAUGGCCGGUACAAAGGGCUGCGAUACCGUAAGGUGGAGCGAAUCCCAAAAAGCCGGUCUCAGUUCGGAUUGAGGUCUGCAACUCGACCUCAUGAAGUCGGAGUCGCUAGUAAUCGCAGAUCAGCAACGCUGCGGUGAAUACGUUCCCGGGCCU